rnacentral:misc_RNA from 1 species
GAUGAAGAACGUAGCGAAAUGCGAUAAGUAGUGUGAAUUGCAGAAUUCCGUGAAUCAUCGAAUCUUUGAACGCACAUUGCGCCCGCCAGUAUUCUGGCGGGCAUGCCUGUCUGAGCGUCAUUUCAACCCUCAUGCCCCUAGGGCGUGGUGUUGGGGAUCGGCCAAAGCCCGCGAGGGACGGCCGGCCCCUAAAUCUAGUGGCGGACCCGUCGUGGCCUCCUCUGCGAAGUAGUGAUAUUCCGCAUCGGAGAGCGAUGAGCCCCUGCCGUUAAACCCCCAACUUUCCAAGGUUGACCUCAGAUCAGGUAGGAAUACCCGCUGAACUUAAGCAUAUCAAUAAGCGGAGGA